CGCCGCCAUGGGAGGGGGCUCCAGCCGUCACGCGGACGGCCGCUAUCGGGACUUCGCCCGGCACGCGCGUUCGACGGUGCUGCUGGCGGC
rnacentral:tRNA from 2 species